rnacentral:piRNA from 1 species
GAGACCUAAAACUAGAGGACAAAGUGU